GACGAACGCUGGCGGCGUGCCUAAUACAUGCAAGUCGAGCGGACAGAUGGGAGCUUGCUCCCUGAUGUUAGCGGCGGACGGGUGAGUAACACGUGGGUAACCUGCCUGUAAGACUGGGAUAACUCCGGGAAACCGGGGCUAAUACCGGAUGGUUGUUUGAACCGCAUGGUUCAAACAUAAAAGGUGGCUUCGGCUACCACUUACAGAUGGACCCGCGGCGCAUUAGCUAGUUGGUGAGGUAACGGCUCACCAAGGCAACGAUGCGUAGCCGACCUGAGAGGGUGAUCGGCCACACUGGGACUGAGACACGGCCCAGACUCCUACGGGAGGCAGCAGUAGGGAAUCUUCCGCAAUGGACGAAAGUCUGACGGAGCAACGCCGCGUGAGUGAUGAAGGUUUUCGGAUCGUAAAGCUCUGUUGUUAGGGAAGAACAAGUACCGUUCGAAUAGGGCGGUACCUUGACGGUACCUAACCAGAAAGCCACGGCUAACUACGUGC
rnacentral:rRNA from 1 species